AGACACCUGCCCUGGCGCUACGUGCGGCACAGGGGAGCUGAGUUUGUCCUGCCGGCUUUGGGUCCCGUGAUGUGUCACUGGGGCCAGGGGCACCUGGGCGCAUCCUGGCAAGAAGGAAGGGAGCGCAGCUCCCUCAAGCGUCUCCCGUCUGUGCUUCCAACUCUGUCCUCCAGCCUGAUUCCCUUCAAUGUGUCUGUCUGCACAGCCCGAGGGCUGGCAUGCCAAGGACACCGACCGCCCAGGGAGUCCAGCUGGAGCCUUAUCCCCUGCACAGCGGCAAUACUCACUGGGGGUGUCUGCCAGGGAGGAGACGGCCAGGCCCUGGAAGCAGAAGACGGCACUGCUCGACUGAGUCCAGCAGGACUCGGACUGGCCGACGUCCGUGGCGCAGGUCCAGGAGUAUUCCUCCAGGCACGCUCUCGGGAGCGGAGGCUCGACCGUGGGCGGCACAUCCCUGCCGAGCCUGUGGGCGGAGGGAGGGCUCAAGUGGAGACAAGCGGCUUUGGGAAACACACAUUCCUAGAGCUGCUUUCUCUGGAAGGUGGAAGGGUCUGCUCACAGAAGAGCAAUGGGAAGGGCUCAGCCAGGGAGAUCACACAAUCCUCCUCUGGCUGGGGCCAGGCCGCAGUUGAAGUGGGAACAGGAGAGAGAGCUGGAAAAAGACAGAGACAGAGACAGAGAGGGCCGGGGGGGUGGGGCGCGCAGGGAGAGAGACAGAGAGCGCGAGAGAGCGAGCGAUCCAGCGUGAGCCGACGAGAGACAGACAGACAGACACAGACACAGACACAGACACAGAGACAGAGACAGAGACAGAGAGACAGACAGAGAGAGACACAGAGAGAGAGAGGGAGAGAGACAGACACACAGACAGAGACAGAGGAGGAGAGAGCGAGCAGAGCUUGCUCAGAGCACCGAGCAGAAAAUGAGCUCUUGAGCAAGGAGGACGAGCGCCUCCACUCCACAAGAGUCAUCACACACCCACACACUCAGAGGACCCUAAAGGCGGCGUCAACACUCUUGCAUCCAGUUGGAAAUGCACAGACAGCUGCCAAGUGAACCCUGCCUGGCUCUGGCACCACUGUCGACUCCCAGAAAUCUGGAAGCUGCAAGGUCUGCCUCUCUCCCUACUGGGGCAUGAUGCGGACUUGGGUCACGAAGGACCGUCUUGGCCGGGAAAUAGCCGCCACCGUGGGAACGGCAACCGGGCAGAGGCAGACAUGCCGCCGACAGAUGAGCACACCUCCGGCAUCUGACCGCACGUGACCACACUGGAGAGAGAUCACGGAAUUGGCCCAUCCGAGGACCACGGUGAGAAACACAGAGCACUCUGGGAAAGGGACACUUGGCGGUUGCGUGCGUGGGGGAAACGGGGAUAGUCAGCGCUCGCUGAACUCCCUCGAUCGGAGAUGCCCAGAUGGCCCCUUCCAAUGGAGUCCCGGGAUUCUUCCGAGUUACCUGCAACACAGGCCGUCUUGGACGCCCCCGUCGUCCUCCGGAUCGGUGUGUUGGCCUGGAAAGAAAUUCGCACGGGGCCAGUCACACUAAGCAGAUCCCCACUCGACCCUUGGGAAUCCAGUGUCCAGUCCCAGCCCAGGGACCUCCACAUCCUCAGUGUGACAACGGCAGACGGGAAGAGCAAUCUGCCAGGAGACCUCAGGCGGUGUCUCGUGAAAGCGCCGGCCUGGCUUUGCCGAGCCAGCGGGCCGCGUCUCCCCGAUCGGGGAGGCCCUCAGCCCAGGAUGCUCUCCCGAGUCUGGGAAAACAGCCAAAGAGGCGUGGGGCUCACACCUUCUGGGGCACCAGCCUAAGUGCCCGCUCGCACAAGUGCCGCGCUACUCAGCCUUCUCUGCGCGGGGACGCUAGUUGUGGAGGCUCGAGUCGAACUCAUCGCCUGAGGGGAGAAGGCCGGCUGCACUCUACAAACCCUGGCAUCCAGAGGCAUCGUCGCCCCCUGCUCCGCAGAAACACUGGCCACCCUGUGGGCUGGGAGAAGGCCAAGGCCUAGGCUCGCACGCGGGAAACACGGGAGCACGGGAAACGGGACAGGUGGCUAGGG
rnacentral:lncRNA from 1 species